UGGGGAAUAUUGCACAAUGGGCGCAAGCCUGAUGCAGCCAUGCCGCGUGUGUGAAGAAGGCCUUCGGGUUGUAAAGCACUUUCAGCGAGGAGGAAGGUGGUGAACUUAAUACGUUCAUCAAUUGACGUUACUCGCAGAAGAAGCACCGGCUAACUCCGUGCCAGCAGCCGCGGUAAUACGGAGGGUGCAAGCGUUAAUCGGAAUUACUGGGCGUAAAGCGCACGCAGGCGGUUUGUUAAGUCAGAUGUGAAAUCCCCGGGCUCAACCUGGGAACUGCAUUUGAAACUGGCAAGCUAGAGUCUCGUAGAGGGGGGUAGAAUUCCAGGUGUAGCGGUGAAAUGCGUAGAGAUCUGGAGGAAUACCGGUGGCGAAGGCGGCCCCCUGGACGAAGACUGACGCUCAGGUGCGAAAGCGUGGGGAGCAAACAGGAUUAGAUACCCCUGGUAGGUCCACGCUGUAAACGAUGUCGAUUUUGGAGGUUGUGCCCUUGAGGCGUGGCUUCCGGAGCUAACGCGUUAAAUUCGACCGCCUGGGGAGUACGGCCGCAAGGUUAAAACUCAAAUGAAUUGACGGGGUC
rnacentral:rRNA from 1 species